rnacentral:rRNA from 1 species
UACGUAGGGGCAAGCGUUGUCCGGAAUUAUUGGGCGUAAAGGCGCGUAGGUGGCCUGCUAAGCGUGCGGUGAAGCCAGGCUCAACCCUGGAUGUGCACUUGAAACUGCUUGCUUGAGUGUCGGAGAGGUCCGUGGAAUUCCAGGUGUAGUGGUGAAAUACGUAGAUAUCUGGAGGAACAUCGGUGGGGAAGCGGCGGACUGGCCGAACACUGACACUGAACUCGAAGCGUGGGAUCAAACAGG